rnacentral:rRNA from 1 species
UACGAAGGGUGCAAGCGUUACUCGGAAUUACUGGGCGUAAAGCGUGCGUAGGUGGUUCGUUAAGUCUGAUGUGAAAGCCCCGGGCUCAACCUGGGAAUUGCAUUGGAUACUGGCGGGCUAGAGUACGGUAGAGGGUGGCGGAAUUCCUGGUGUAGCAGUGAAAUGCAUAGAGAUCAGGAGGAACAUCCGUGGCGAAGGCGGCCACCUGGACCAGUACUGACACUGAGGCACGAAAGCGUGGGGAGCAAACAGGAUUAGAUACCCU